UACGUAGGGGGCAAGCGUUAUCCGGAUUUACUGGGUGUAAAGGGGGCGCAGACGGCGAUGCAAGCCAGGAGUGAAAGCCCGGGGCCCAACCCCGGGACUGCUCUUGGAACUGCGUGGCUGGAGUGCAGGAGGGGCAGGCGGAAUUCCUGGUGUAGCGGUGAAAUGCGUAGAUAUCAGGAGGAACACCGGCGGCGAAGGCGGCCUGCUGGACCGUGACUGACGUUGAGGCUCGAGAGCGUGGGGAGCAAACAGG
rnacentral:rRNA from 1 species